rnacentral:rRNA from 1 species
AACGAACGCUGGCGGCAGGCUUAACACAUGCAAGUCGAGCGGGUAGCAAUACCAGCGGCAGACGGGUGAGUAACACGUGGGAACCUUCCUAGAGGUACGGAACAACGCAGGGAAACUUGCGCUAAUACCGUAUGUGCUCUUGCGAGGAAAGAUUUAUCGCCUUUAGACGGGCCCGCGUCGGAUUAGCUAGUUGGUGGGGUAACGGCCUACCAAGGCGACGAUCCGUAGCUGAUCUGAGAGGAUGAUCAGCCACACUGGGACUGAGACACG